CUACGUGCCAGCAGCCGCGGUAAUWCGGAGGGUGCAAGCGUUAAUCGGAAUUACUGGGCGUAAAGCGCACGCAGGCGGUUUGUUAAGUCAGAUGUGAAAUCCCCGCGCUUAACGUGGGAACUGCAUUUGAAACUGGCAAGCUAGAGUCUUGUAGAGGGGGGUAGAAUUCCAGGUGUAGCGGUGAAAUGCGUAGAGAUCUGGAGGAAUACCGGUGGCGAAGGCGGCCCCCUGGACAAAGACUGACGCUCAGGUGCGAAAGCGUGGGGAGCAAACAGGAUUAGAUACCCUGGUAGUCCACGCUGUAAACGAUGUCGACUUGGAGGUUGUGCCCUUGAGGCGUGGCUUCCGGAGCUAACGCGUUAAGUCGACCGCCUGGGGAGUACGGCCGCAAGGUUGAAACUCAAAUGAAUUGACGGGGGCCCGCACAAGCGGUGGAGCAUGUGGUUUAAUUCGAUGCAACGCGAAGAACCUUACCUACUCUUGACAUCCAGA
rnacentral:rRNA from 1 species